GUACGGCGAGUGAAGCGGCAACAGCUCAAAUUUGAAAUCUGGCCCCCAGGGUCCGAGUUGUAAUUUGCAGAGGAUGAUUUUGGCGAGGUGCCUUCCGAGUUCCCUGGAACGGGACGCCACAGAGGGUGAGAGCCCCGUCUGGUUGGACGCCGAGCCUAUGUAAAUCUCCUUCGACGAGUCGAGUAGUUUGGGAAUGCUGCUCUAAAUGGGAGGUAUAUGUCUUCUAAAGCUAAAUAUUGGCCAGAGACCGAUAGCGCACAAGUAGAGUGAUCGAAAGAUGAAAAGCACUUUGAAAAGAGGGUUAAAUAGUACGUGAAAUUGUUGAAAGGGAAGCGCUCAUGACCAGACUUGGGCCCGGUGAAUCAUCCAGCGUUCUCGCUGGUGCACUUUGCCGGGCUCAGGCCAGCAUCAGUUUGCCCCGGGGGAUAAAGGCUUUGGGAAUGUGGCUCCUCCGGGNAGUGUAUAGCCCAUUGCAUAAUAUCCUGGGGCGGACUGAGGUUCGCGCAUCUGCAAGGAUGCUGGCGUAAUGGUCAUCAGCGACCCGUCUUGAAACACGGACCAAGGAGUCG
rnacentral:rRNA from 1 species